GGACGCGGGUGCCGUGAGGCCUCGGUCCGCUCGCUUUCGGCCCUGGCGCACCUUCCCCGGCGCCAGGUUCGACGAGCGGGCGGGGACCUGGCGGCACCCACGUUCGUUU
rfam:Actinophytocola sp. 11-183 contig72, whole genome shotgun sequence.